AGGAUUAGAUACCCGGUUAGUCCUAGCAGUAAACGAUGGCUACUAGGUGUGGGGGGUGUUGACCCCUCCUGUGCCGAAGCUAACGCAUUAAGUAGCCCGCCUGGGGAGUACGGUCGCAAGACUAAAACUCAAAGGAAUUGACGGGGACCCGCACAAGCAGCGGAGCGUGUGGUUUAAUUCGAUGCAACGCGAAGAACCUUACCUGGGCUUGACAUCUAUUUGCAACACUCUGAAAGGGGUGCCUCCUUCGGGACAGAUAGACAGAUGCUGCAUGGCUGUCGUCAGCUCGUGUCGUGAGAUGUUGGGUUAAGUCCCGCAACGAGCGCAACCCUUGUCCUUAGUUGCAUAUCUAAGGAGACUGCCGGUACAAAACCGGAGGAAGGUGGGGAUGACGUCAAGUCAGCAUGGCUCUUACGUCCAGGGCUACACACACGCUACAAUGGACAGUACAAUGAGAAGCCACCUCGCGAGAGGGAGCGGACCUCGUAAAGCUGUCCUCAGUUCAGAUUGCACUCUGCAACUCGAGUGCAUGAAGGUGGAGUUGCUAGUAACCGCGUGUCAGCAUAGCGCGGUGAAUAUGUUCCCGGGUCUUGUACACACCGCCCGUCACGUCAUGGGAGCUGGCAACACCUGAAGUCCAUGAGCUAACCUUAGGGAAGCAGUGGCCGAAGGUGGGGCUGGUGACUGGGACGAAGUCGUAACAAG
rnacentral:rRNA from 1 species